GAGUAAAGAGCAAUCUUUAUUCUUUUUGGCAGGCCCAAGCCCAAUUUAAAGUUUUCAGUCAUGCUAAUUUCAUUUUUCUAAUCGACUCAAAAGUUUUGGCCCCGACUAACUGGAGAGCAAAUUGAAUUUCUCAUAAGGGGGAUUUUUGGAGCUAUCUUUUAGAAUACCUAGGACCUAAAAGGAAAUAAUUUGUAGUCAAAUAUCACAGAUAAUGGCAUAAGAAGAAUCUUCCGGUGUAACCUGUACUGUGGCGCAUACUGCCUGCUACGAAACUAUUUCGAUUUAAAUUUUUUAUCAAGCCGGAUGAGUAGAUCUUAUCGUGAAUUCCUGAAACAAUAUCCGUAAACAACAAUGUGUCGCCUGAAAAAUUAACCGCUUGUUGUUAACAUUCGAAUCAGCAGUCCAGACUGUCUAAUCCAGAAGAACGUUGUGCUGGCUCUAGAAGAAGUUGAUUCGAUGGAACGUCAUAUCUUUUUUUGGAUGUCUAGGUCGAGUCCUGAUCGCUUGCUUUGGAAGAGCGACGAAGAACCCAGAGAUGGGAAAAACUUCGUCUUCCAAGUAAACAAAGACAAUUAUAUUUGGCUGACAAGUACUACCCGGAUGCGGAUUCAAAUUUCAAAAAGUUUACUAAGCGUUUCUGAUAGGAAGGUGAGAAUUUUUAUGCUCUUUGAAAAGGGGUCUAAGGAGUAACAAUGACAUCACGAAUAUGAUACGGUUAACGAAAAUUUGCUACGAAGUUUACCAAUGCAUUCCUGUCCUGUCCUGUGAAAUCAAUGAAUAGCAUGAUUACCAAAUCAACGAUAUCUGCCGCUGGUUUGCCACCAGUGAUGAAAAUGCUUUUACAGUGAAGUCUCAACGAGACUCACUGAUAAACAAUUCGAUAUUGGGAAUGUUGUUCCUCGACCCGCGAAUGUCCAGUCGGUCUCUUGAUGGCAGUGAAGAGCUGAUCAAUGCAAACGAAGUUCGGAUUCAAAGACGAUGUGGAUUAAGAAAGAGCGGAAAUUAUACUAAUCGAUUGGCACUAGUCAUGUUAUAAACUAAAAAAACCAUUUCGACAUUAUUUUAUCGUUCGAUCAAAGCGAUGUUGAAUACGUUGAAUACGGGUACGAAAUUUUCAAUUAAGGGUAAAAUUGUAAUUAAGCUUAGUUUUUUUUUUUGAAAUUGGACAAGUAGCUAAGAAAUUAUGGGAAUUCUGUUCUCAUGUUACGGUAUUGUGAAACCCUAAAUUCAUAUAGUAAAAUGCUUUGAAAUUAGGCGACAGGAAAAGAAAACAGAGCCUGAUUCGGGCGAACCGAUAGUAAGGUGUACGAAGAUACCAACAGAACGUAACAGUCCCAUCAAACUCGCACUAAGGAUUUUUUUGUAAGCUCACUCAGCUCUGGAGUUAUCGUUGAGUAAGUCACUGAUACUUUCUUAUUUUAGAAUCUGACGAGCUAAUUCUAAGGUUCAGUCAUUUUCAGGUUGUUGAUUGUUGACGUUAGAAGUUAUAACAAAAGACCGAACAUGCUUCCGGUUCUUAGCAGGUGGCUUAAAUUCCACUUCCAAAUGGACCAAAUGGAAGGCCACCUAAUUUCCUAAUUUCGUUCGUUAUUCGUUCAAACAAGAUUAUUUCCGUGCUUUUUGUAGCUUGACUGCGCUUAGUGCAAAGAAAUUUCUUAGCCCUGGACUAGUUGUGUUUAGAGUGUCUUACUAGUUGUAACAACAGAUAACUGUAAAUAUUAGGCCAGAAUGUCCAGCAAAGCUCAGAACUGUUGAUUACGCUAUGCAUAGUAAUACUUUUGUUAAAAUUACAAACUUUCAAAACCGGAACGCACUUACUCUAAACAAGGACUGAUUCGUGUUUUGUUA